rnacentral:tRNA from 1 species
GGGGGAUUAGCUCAGCUGGGAGAGCGCAACGCUGGCAGCGUUAAGGUCACCGGUUCGAUCCCGGUAUCCUCCA